GAUGAACGCUGGCGGCGUGCCUAAUACAUGCCAGUCGAGCGAACGGAUGAGAAGCUUGCUUCUCUGACGUUAGCGGCGGACGGGUGAGUAACACGUGGAUAACCUACCUAUAAGACUGGGAUAACUUCGGGAAACCGGAGCUAAUACCGGAUAAUAUUUUGAACCGCAUGGUUCAAUAGUGAAAGACGGUCUUGCUGUCACUUAUAGAUGGAUCCGCGCUGCAUUAGCUAGUUGGUAAGGUAACGGCUUACCAAGGCAUCGAUGCGUAGCCGACCUGAGAGGGUGAUCGGCCACACUGGAACUGAGACACGGUCCAGACUCCUACGGGAGGCAGCAGUAGGGAAUCUUCCGCAAUGGGCGAAAGCCUGACGGAGCAACGCCGCGUGAGUGAUGAAGGUCUUCGGAGCGUAAAACUCUGUUAUUAGGGAAGAACAUAUGUGUAAGUAACUGUGCACAUCUUGACGGUACCUAAUCAGAAAGCCACGGCUAACUACGUG
rnacentral:rRNA from 1 species